CCUCGUCAUAAGAUAUUUCUGACAGUCUUCUAUUUAUUGAAUCUGGUGCUUGCGACAUAAUUGCCAGCCCGUCAUCUCUAUAAAGACCAAUGUUGAUUUCUGAAAUCUGCUUUAGCUGGUGUAGUAAGAAGCAUCCGACCAAUUCGCAUGUCUCCGCUCCAUCGAAGCUCCCCAUUGUCACAUCGAAUAAUGUGGAAGAUGAUUUCUUCUCCCAUGGUACGCCGUUGCUAAAUAGGAGCGAGUGCUUGUCUUUUGUAAUGAAAUCGCCCUCGUCGGUCGUGAUGUCACAUGCUCUGAUGCAAAUUCCAGUGCUCGUUCUAGUAGGGUCUGGGUGAUAGAUGGAUAAACUCCACUACAUCGAAGCAUAUAAAGGCUGAAUUCUCCUUACUUGGUAGCUGUCUGUACCAUUCUAGAACAGAUGACGUGUUUUUCCAUUGGUUCACCUCGGUUUUCGUUACUAGCCUCUUGUUGAUAUUCUCGAGUAUUUGUUUACUAAUUUUUCCAAUCUCUGAUUUUGAAGGGUUAAUUAGCCGGCAUGUUGAUCUUUUUUCGAAAUUCUGUUUAUGGUCUUUCAAGGUGAUGAAUGCUUCUUUUGUGGCUUGUGCUUCUACUCUAUCUUGUAUGUCUAGUUUAGUGGUUAUCCUCUUCGUAACUGCGUCGAUCUUUUUGAGUUUAUUCUCGCUUGCGAUCUUAUACGUUUUGGCAGAUAAGUCAGCAAAUUUCUACAAAUUGGAAACAGAGAGUUACAAACAGCUUCUUAAUAGCAACGUUACCAAAACAAUUUCUUCAACCUGAGUUAAUCCUUGUAACUCUUUUGGGACUUGCCCAGGUAUCACAGAAUUUUCUUUAGAAAAUGAUUUGGGAGUUUCCGUAUCCCUCUUACAGCGUGUGCAAGUACAAUCCUCUGAUUGCUUUUUUAUGUUCAAAGGACAAGCAUCUUUACAAAUAGAACAUUGGUAAAUGGAAUAUUGCAUCGACUGAUAAUUUUUGCAUAUUUAAUUUUGCCCAAGUUUGAUCAUGUUAGGGCCAUUCUGGAUUGAGUUGAAUUCCUUCAAAUAAUUUGGUUGCAGUGAAUAUUAUGUACCGCCAAGUUCACUCCGGUAUCAAGAGCCUUUCUUAUUCAUUCUUUCCCAGAGCAGCCUUCAAGGCAGCAGCUACAGAAGCUUUACCCUCUAUAAGGAUACUACCACACCUUAAGCGGCUUUAAUUUGAUUUUUCUCUAAAAAUUCAUUUGUUUGACUAUUCAUUAUUAUUUAUUUAAUUAUUUAUGUCUAUUUUUAAUCUAUAAGGACCUUCCAGGUUGGGUCAGUACGCAGCUCUUACAAGCUGCAAUUUAAAUGGGCAAAUGAACAAUAUCCGAACCUUGACAUAAAGAACGAGAAGAAUAGAGACAAAAGAACUCCUUUGUAGAAUAAAGAUAAUAGGAGACAAAGCAGCUGCGUACUUACUCUCCAGGUUUAGUGCAAACUAGUUGUUGAGGUGGAGAAAACUAAUAACGCCGAACUAAUAAACAUAUUUUCCCCUCAGAAAGAAAUAAUUUACAAAACUAACCUAAAUUGUUCUUACCAAAUAAAAAUCAAAGCUGAGAAAAUAUGAGAUAACAUACAUUCGUUUACUCUUGCAUUUUAGUCUGGCUUAGAUUCUAUAGUAAGUUAUAGAAUAAGAUUGACACGUGAAAUUGUCAUUUGGACAGAAAUAACAGAAGCGGUUUUGCUCGAACAAUUCGCAUUUUAUAAGAGAUUUAUUUUUUAGUACACCAUUAUACAAGAUAUAUAGUUACCGCAGGGGCUCAUAAGUAGGGGCAAUCAACUUCCCCACAUUCUGGUACUAUAUAAGUGUCAAGGCGUUUCCUAGGAUCAGGCUAUUUUUAGACGCACGGAUUAGCCAAUCAGAUGACAGGGCGGAAAAAUUGACUUUGUCUCAAGGGAUCCAUAAUGGCGGCCGAGAAGGGGGAAAACGACGCUUGCUUUUCAAAGUCUUCCUACGUCGUCAUAUGCCUUCUUAUUUAUGAAUCCUUUUUGUCGCGGAGUGAUUAUUUGUAUCGAUCUCGAAAUUCUGUCGCUGAGAGGCGAUAUUAUCAUCCAUAAGGUUUUUGAUACUGCUAGUUAACUAACAAUAGUGUAAGAAGUAACAUACGAAAGUUUAUGUCUUUUUUUUGUUAAAUAUUUUUAUCAAAAGAGCUCUUCAAAGCUGGAUCUGUGUUUGUAUCAACACCCUUGACCUGUCCUGGACUCACUGUACUGGGGCCGGUCCCUGAAAGGCCGAUUAACUUAACCCUCGACAGGGGCGUACGCAGGAUUUUAACAAGUUGCAGUCAAAGCAUUCAGAAGCUGAAUGAGGGCUCCUCACCAACACUCUAUCCUCUCAGCGUAUGCCACCCCGUCAUCCUAUCUAGCCUAGAACACUUCAAAAAUAUUCCCGUACAAUAAUAUAGCCAUUCAUUGUAUUCAUCCGCCAUAUUUUGCCAAUUUUGUAAACCAAACCGCAACCUAGUUAAUAAAUACCCGGAUGUACAAUAACCGGAACCGGAAACAGCGAUAUCUAUUUUCAUCUAAUACUCGUAUAACCACGAGCGCAAUCCCCUCAUAACCCCCCACUUCGCUGCAUACGGAAUACCUCCAAGACACGCAAUCUAAGCUCCGCCAAUACACAUCUCGGGUAUGUACACCCUCCUUUCCACACAUCCUAUAUACUACCCACCACAUCACGACAUCCGUAUUCUCUCCCCUUCCAGCUACAUGCAUAAGUUCCCACACUUAUUUAUCAUUUAGUCCACCACAUACAACCGCUAGCCAGGACCAUCACAUGCACCAUUUUGUCCACUACACACUUCCCCCUCCUAUCUUAGCCUCUAUCCACUUUUUUCUCUUUACCUCAUUCCCCGGCGCGCUACCUUUUACUUUUCAGACCAAGCCAUGCACUCAGCCGGAGCCAGGCGCUACACAGGUUUGGCCAUUGCAUGCACCACGCUUCACUAGAGGCAUUACUAACGAGCGUGUAGGGGCGGGUGAUGAGGGCCUUAUCAUUCGAAACACGCUUCAUAUACGAAUCAUCUCCAUAGUUUUUUCCCCUUUUUACUCCCACCAUCAUCGCCGCUUUUCCCCUAGCUUUCCCCUAAGUCUCCCCGCUUUAAUCUCCAGGUUCGUAUAUGACCAACCAAUAGACCUCGCCCCCUGAUGAGAAGUCUUGGUUGGCGUUAUAUGCCUUUAGUUCUACAUUUCGCAGAGCUCUUUGAAAUGACCUACACACUUUUGUCUUAUUGGUUUAUUUUGUUAUGUCCAUUUUGCAUAUACAUGCCGGUUGUUUUCUUCGUGCCUUUGCCUUUUCCCCUUAUCUCUUACCACCGAUUAUCGUUUCAUCUGGGGAAAACUAUCCUUCCUGUCUUGUUAACGUUUCAGCGUCAUCUCCACUCUCACCGCGCUCCCUUUGUCGCCUCCCGCGCCCCUACUUCAUCUUCUUCUCGCCGUUUUACUAGCAUCAUUUUCCAUUGUCCGUAAUACUUCCUUUCACCGCUACAGUAUUUUAUAUUUUUUCUCGGCGUUUUCGCAACACUCAUUCAAUCUCUAUUAUUAUUUAAUUUCGCCUGUCAAUCAUAUCACUUACACACUUCAUUAGAUACAUACCUCCACACAUACCUCACCCUCUCCAUUACCGCUCACCAUUUCCUCUCUACAAUCUAAACACUUUUCUUUCUCUUACCUUACAUAUUACUUUCCUACCCUACACACAACACACUUUCUCAAAAACACUACACAGUCUCGUCACAAUAUCCCUGCUCAUCAUUCUGCUCACACUCGCAUUAUCCCCCUUCAUCAGAUUUCACUAAUGCCGCCAUCACCUCUUCACAUCCGCUACACAACACUCGCCACAAGUUACCGAUUUUAACUGUUUCAAUCUCCACAUAAUACCAUAUUUACUAACUACUUUCUCCACUCAACCAAAAAAAAACCUUUAUUCAUAACUCUGAUGUCGUUUUAUUAUCAAUCCCAUCUCUUAUAACAACUUUAACUCGUCGUCUCAUAAUCCAUAAUCUUAACCACCCGAACAUAACUUGAUAACCCUAUCACCCCUUCCCCUUCCUUCACACUGCAACUUCACAAACAUAAACUAAGUUUCACCAUUCGCUACACAACCACCUCUCCACCUACUUAUCUCAACCUAUCACCAUCUUCAUCUUCUAUCACCGCCUUCCUAUAUACUACAAUACCACACUCACUCACUCUCUCAUAACGAUAUAUUAUCACCCACAUUUACACCAUAACCUCACAAAUUUUAAAUCGACCUCCGCACCACUACCAUUUUAACACACACAGACCCAUCACG